rnacentral:lncRNA from 1 species
CACCACAGUGCCUCCAAACACGGUGCAACGUGUUUUUCACAAACAGUCCUUCUUUUAUUUAAAUUAGACAUUUCCUUUGCAUUUCUGCAAGUGUUUUUUAAAUAUGCUUUUCACAGUUUCAAAAGUCAUCAUUAAAAUCCAGGCUUCACAGAAAUACUCCGGCCUGUGCGUGCACAUGGGCACACACGUGCACGGUCUCUGCAGAGUCUGGCUCUGGAGGGACCAUGAGAACCAGGACUGGCGGUGCCUCUGGGACAGGAGACAGGAGACUCAGUUUCCAUAAUACAGUAUGUACAAGUGCCCAUGUUCUGUGUUCAAACACAUAAAUAGCUUUGUUUAGAAGAACUCUCAGAAGUGACUUAAUAAACAACAGGAAGAUAAACCACAGUUCACGAAAGACCCUUUUCCCCUUCAAUUCUGAAAAGAUCCUUGGUGUGGAGUUGCCUGCUCCUCCUCCCCACCAUGAAAGGCCUUAGGCUUCCCUUUGGAGGCCGUGGGAAGGCACUCUAAAUAGCACACAUCCUGCUGUCUUUUAAAUACGCUGUAAAACACUCCUCUCCAUGGGCUCUGAAAACAGCUCUAGGCACACCAGCUUGUUCACGUCAAAUCUCUCCCUCCUGGGAGCCUCUGUGGGCCUCGGGGCACCUGGCCUGCAGCUUGCUCCUCUCUGAGGCCCCUGUGUCCUCUGUUUCUCUGCUCCACGAGCCCACGGACAGCCUGGAUAGUCCCUGAAGAGGCCUCUCACAGGGCACCAUGGACUGGAAUCUGGGGUCAAGCUGUUCCCUCCUUGGGCAGGCUGUUCCCUCCGUGGGCAGGCUGUUCCCUCCUUGGGCAGGCUGUUCCCUUCUUGGGCAGGCAGCUCACUCAACAGACCCAGGAAGGCGCUCAGGGCAGUGAGCCUGAGCCUGAGAAGCUGGCACUGGGUGCUCUCUCCGGCUGCUCACCACUACUCGCUCCCUCCUGAGGCCCUGGCACAGGGUUCGCUGGGGCAGGAGGAGGGCAGCCGGGACCCAGAGUGGGAGCAGUGCCUGGGGCCCUGGUCCCAGCCCAGCUGUACAUUGGGCGCUGCUGCCCCAUCAGCUGAGUCUGCCCUGUGGACACGCCCUCACGCCCACCCAGUCCGGCCUUACCCUCCACGAGAAGUACGGGGCUUCCAGGGGACUGAUUCCCAGGCACCCUCGGAUGAUCUGGCCCCACACAAGCAGCUC